GAAAAGAAAGAACCUGGCUAACUAAGGAUAUUCCCAGCACUGCCCCUCCUCAGGUGCACAGAAAAGAAGCACCUCUUUUGAAGACCUUAGGAUGUGCCCAGUAGCAGGGCUCUCAUCUCCAUAACACCUUCUAAAGUGAGUAGGGAGCACAGGAGAGGAGUUCCAUGCCUGCACACCUCAUAAGGGGACUGAUGACUGGCACACACAGGAAGGGCUUGCAAUAGACAGAGGACAGGAAGGACUCCACCCAGCCUGAAAUGCUGAUGAACAUCGGGCUCACAGAAUGGGAGGAGCCUGAGAUUUAGAACGGUCAUGGAGCGGUCCAAGAGGAAGUGUUUCCAUGAUGCACUUAUGGUGGACACGCAGGAUAGAGCCAACAAGCAGGUUUAAUACCAAAGAGAGAAGGAUUCACGGCAAGUGGAAGAGCACAGACAGGAUGCAGAGUGCGAGGACAGAACUGCAGAGCAUGAGGAGAGACUGGAGCGCAAUUUCCAGAGUAGGAAUGUCGCUUCAGGGAGGAAGAUAGAGCCUCGGUGAAAGACCUUUUGAGAGGCUGCUUCUCCUGCUGCACCCGCCCCACAUCCUGAGUCCCCUCCAUGGUACCAUGUGCUUCAGACCAGGAACGCAGUGGACAAUUCCAUGGUUGGGUGGCCCAUGCAGCUGGGAUUAGCUGGACAGGGCAAAUGUACCCCUGCAGUCUUCUACCCCUUGCAGGCCUCCACCCUCGUGCAGCAAUGCCAAGUACAUGCUAAAUGGGCAAGAAAGGGAUGCUGGGGGACACACAAAAGCAGGGAAUUUAUUUAUCAGCACUGGAUUCACUGUUUGCCCUAUUCAAUGUUUGUUUUGUGCACUUUGUUUUAUUACUGGUUUUGAU